rnacentral:rRNA from 1 species
ACGGGGACCCGCACAAGCAGCGGAGCAUGUGGUUUAAUUCGAAGCAACGCGAAGAACCUUACCAGGGCUUGACAUCCCUCAGACCGAAUUAGAGAUAAUUCUUUCCCUUCGGGGACUGAGGUGACAGGUGGUGCAUGGUUGUCGUCAGCUCGUGUCGUGAGAUGUUGGGUUAAGUCCCGCAACGAGCGCAACCUUUGUCUUUAGUUGCUAACAGUCAGGCUGAGCACUCUAAAGAGACUGCCGAUGAGAAAUCGGAGGAAGGUGGGGAUGACGUCAAAUCAUCAUGCCCUUUAUGUCCUGGGCUACACACGUGCUACAAUGGUCGGUACAAUGGGUGGCCACUUAGUGAUAAGGAGCAAAUCCCUUAAAACCGAUCCUAGUUCGGAUUGUAGGCUGCAAUUCGCCUACAUGAAGCCGGAGUUGCUAGUAAUCACGGAUCAGAAUGCCGUGGUGAAUACGUUCCCGGGUCUUGUACACACCGCCCGUCACACCAUGGAAGUUGGCAAUACCCGAAGCCAGUGAGCUA